GCCCUUCACUACGGAAUAGCCUCUGGAAACGGAGAGUAAUACCGUAUGCGCCCUUCGGGGAAAGAUUUAUCGGUGAAGGAUUAGCCCGCGUCUGAUUAGAUAGUUGGUGGGGUAACGGCCUACCAAGUCGACGAUCAGUAGCUGGUUUGAGAGGAUGAUCAGCAACACUGGGACUGAGACACGGCCCAGACUCCUACGGGAGGCAGCAGUGGGGAAUCUUAGACAAUGGGCGCAAGUGAUCUAGCCAUGCCGCGUGAGUGACGAAGGCCUUAGGGUCGUAAAGCUCUUUCGCCAGGGAUGAUAAUGACAGUACCUGGUAAAGAAACCCCGGCUAACUCCGUGCCAGCAGCCGCGGUAAUACGGAGGGGGUUAGCGUUGUUCGGAAUUACUGGGCGUAAAGCGCGCGUAGGGGAUUGGAAAGUUGGGGGUGAAAUCCCGGGGCUCAACCCCGAACUGCCUCCAAAACUAUCAGUCUAGAGUUCGAGAGAGGUGAGUGGAAUUCCAAGUGUAGAGGUGAAAUUCGUAGAUAUUUGGAGGAACACCAGUGGCGAAGGGGCUCACUGGCUCGAUACUGACGCUGAGGUGCGAAAGUGUGGGGAGCAAACAGGAUUAGAUACCCUGGUAGUCCACACCGUAAACGAUGAAUGCUAGCCGUCGGACAGUAUACUGUUCGGUGGCGCAGUUAACGCAUUAAGCAUCCCGCCUGGGGAGUACGGUCGCAAGAUUAAAACUCA
rnacentral:rRNA from 1 species